CAAGAGGAAGGACCGGAUGACUUACCAUGUGAGGUCUCAUGAAGGAGGCAUCACCAAACCCUAUACUUGCAGUGUUUGUGGGAAAGGCUUCUCAAGGUACUGGGUUUUGCUUUGCUUUUUUAAAUUAUGAUAACAGUAAAACUUCAGAUUUAUUUCCGUGUAAUUUUGAAAGUUUAUGUGAGAAUAGAUGGGGGCAGGCCUGUGUUAUUAGAGGAGACUGGUGAUAAAGAAGCAUUAUACCUCCAGGUAUAAUUGCAGUUUGGUAUGGUUGACAAGUGGUGACAUAGUGAUCUAAUUUACUACUUCAUUUAAGAAGUGCCUUGGUGGACUCAAGCCUUCAUUUGGCACAGGGGUACUUAUCAUUGCAAAACCACCAGUUUUUAGUUCAGUUGGGUGACUAGAUAGAACGUUCACUGUCUGUGGAAAUCAAAGGAACUUAUUUCCUGAAAGUUGAGGUGACCUGGGAGAUGCUUGAUAAAACUUUUAGGGGAACGUUUUCCAUUUUUUGUGAUGAGAACUAACAUUUUACUAAUUAUAAUUUUUAAAAGCUUUUAAAGUUAAUAUAAUAGUAGCUAUUUCUGGCAAGCGUUAGGACUAAACGUGAAUAUUUUGUAAUUGUAAAGAACCAACACCUAGUGUGAUUUGAUGUUGACUAGAAGAGAAAAUAAACACGUAAAGGACUGAGACUUUUUUGUAUGCUAAGAGAGUUAAGGAGGCAGCUUGUACUGGGGGAAGGGGGGGAGCCGGUAAUUCUGCUAGGUUUCUUUAAAAUGCUCUCCCAAAUCUGCCAAUCAUGUAAGCAUCACAGUAAGUAGCAUGUCUCUGUGUGUGUUCCAUUACAUCUUCUGUUGAAACUCUCUCUUUCACAGGCCUGACCACUUAAGCUGUCACGUAAAACAUGUCCAUUCAACAGAAAGACCCUUCAAAUGCCAAGUAAGAGUUAAAAUGACUUAUCCUUAGUGUAGCACUUAAUGCACAUUUUCCAGAAGGUGUGAGCCAAUCAAAUCUCCAGUUCUUGAAUAAUCUUAAAAUCACUGACUUGAGUAAAUGUGAUCCAUUUGAAUUUUAGUUUUAAUAUAAAUGACAACUUCUCUUUCUGUGAGACAAGAUCAUUUAAAAGUUUGAAUGCAUUGUUAUUGUUAAACUACACUUCCCUUUCCUUGGGCAACAGAAUUUUUUGUUAUGAGGAAAAAAAAUAUAUAGUCUUACAAAGGUCAUUAUGUAUUUGAAAUGAGUGGAAGAAUGAAGUGCUUUGAAUUUCUGGGUUGAUGGUUGAGGUUGUUUUAGUUUAAUAGGAGAAAAUAUUAGUUUUCUCCCAGAUGUUAUCGCUCAAUGAAUUUUUGUCUGCUAUUGCCAAAUUGGAGCAUUUUCUAGUUUGAAAAGCUAUUUGUUAAUGAUUUCAUUUGACAUAAGUUGUGACAAUGAAAAGGUUAAGAAUUUUGCUAAAUCAAAGGACUGUUUUAGGCAUCAGUAAUUCUAGUUUGUUGCUGGAAGUCUUUUUGUGCUCCUUUCAGCUAAGUUUGUUAAUGACUGAUCUUAUUAAGUAAAUGAUUUGAAUUCUAAGAAAAAUCCAGCUGAAGGGAGGAAGCUAAUGUUCAUUGAGUAAGUGCUUGUUACGUGCCAGGCCUUGGGCCAGGCUCUUUAUCCAGCAGCAGUCCUAUGAGGUAGGUAUUACUAUCCCCAUUUUACAGAAGAAGAAACGGAUUUCAGAGAGGUUAACCAACUUGUUCAAGGUUACACUGCUUAGUAAAUUGUAGAGCUGGAUUUAAACUCAGGUUUAACUGACUCUCACGCUCCCAUCUUUUCACUAGUCUGUGUUGUUAUGUUUUCCUCCCCUGAAAUAGAAGUGUCUAAAAUUCACCAAGUAUUUUGAAAUUUAUGAUUCUAAGUAACACAUGCCGUUAAAAUUCAAAUAGCCCAGUCCACUUACUGACAUGGGUAGGAUAAUGCAUAGAAUAUAACAUUUUAAAAUGAGUAGAACAGGAUAGUCUAUAUUUAAAAAAAGUUUUCCUCCCUCAUGCAGACAUGCACUGCUGCCUUUGCCACCAAAGACAGACUGCGGACACACAUGGUGCGCCACGAAGGCAAGGUAUCGUGUAAUAUCUGUGGGAAACUUCUGAGUGCAGCAUAUAUCACCAGCCACUUAAAGACACAUGGGCAGAGCCAAAGUAUCAACUGUAAUACAUGUAAACAAGGCAUCAAUAAAACUCUCUACGUAUUUUAUUAACUCAUCUGUUGUGACCAAUAUAAACACAAGCAGCAAAAAGAGAUGCACUAUAGUAAGAGCUAUCAAGUCAAAUGAGAAAGAGCUCAGAGGCGUGAGGAGUCAGAGUAUCUAAGUUUUGGAUUUUGAAAAAAUUGCCACACUUUUUCAAGGUAAAUGUCGUAUUUCUGGUUUGUCUUUGGAGUAGCAUGCAUGAGUGAAGAGACCAGCAACCAGAAGCAGCAGCAACAGCAGCAGCAACAGCAGCAACAACAUGUGACAAGUUGGCCAGGGAAGCAGGUAGAGACACUGAGACUGUGGGAAGAAGCUGUCAAAGCAAGGAAGAAAGGUAAGAUGAGGCUUCCAGUGGUCACGGUAUAGCUAGAUAAUUGUUUUAAUUUAGUAUGCCAAGUGAUCAAAGUAGAGAAACUAGAGCUUAGGGAAUCUGGCUUUGUGAAAACAUACAAAUGCUGUAUGCUGGGAAAUGUCUGGUAAAGUUUAGUUAUUGCCAACAAAGCUUCCAGGUAAGUUUUUAUUAGUAGAAAGUAAAAGUUCUCAGUACUUCUUAGCAGGUUCUUUGAUUUACUUUUUGUUUUAAAUUUGGAGACAAAUUUGGUCCUUUGCUUUGCUCAGAGUUCUAUUUUUGUUAUUCAUUUUGUUGUCGACAUCCCCAUAUUAUGGGCCUAUUUUCUUUUAAAGUAUUCGCACUUUUAGAGGUGGAUGAAAUAUCAUCCUUGUGUGUAUAUAAGUUCAUUUUCUUACUACUGUGUUAUGUUUUGCUCCUUUAGUAUCCUUUCUGCAUUGUAUUAUUUAUUACACUUUUCAGACUCUAUAGUGCUGACUUCUUUCCUUUUGGUCUCACCCUUAAUCUCCUCUGUCAUAGUUUAACAGGUUCUGUGCUUUUGCUGUUAGCGACUCCACUGUAAUUGUUACAAAAAUUGAGGAUGGUUUCCUUUUCUCUCUUGUAUGUGUGAUAAAGAAUCAGUUGGGGUAUCAGUUUUCAACAUAGCUUUUCGGCUUACUGGCUGCAGCUGUGGCUUCUGGUCUAUUGUGUACCUGUUUCAAAUAAGUCAUUUUGUCAAUGUGUCCUCAGCCAUAGGACAGAUUCCUAAAUCCUUCUCUCUUCUCCCACCCCUGCCAUGCUUUACUGUUGUAUUUUAAAUUCACAAGGAAUCCUCUGCAUAUAGGCUAUUCUGUAAUUCCUUUGCUGUGUAGUUUCUUCAUCUUUUGCUUUUAUGCAGUGUGACUGUUCCCUUCCUCAGAUCUCUUCUAAAUAUCCUGUGUUUGGAUAAACAUAAAAAGAAUAGCAUUCUUUUUCAUACAUCUGCUGGCACUGGAGGAAAAGAAUGAAGCAGUCCAGGUAGCCUUACCCCUGUUUCAGGUGCUGCUUGUUCCUACCUUCCAAAUGAAGAGUUGUCGUUAUUUUGAUAAAAAUAUUUUUUAGGGCUAUGAUAAUUAACAUAGUGGGUUGAAAGUGUAUUAUAGAGAAUGUUUUACUUAGAGGAAGAGUAAAAAUUUUUAACUAAGUCCUAGUAAAAGAAAAAAAAAACUGAUUGAAAAGAAAAUGCAGUGGAGAGGGGUGGGGGCUAGGCAGAGGCAGGCUGCAUGCUAGGGAGAGUGAAAACUCCUGUGGUGAAAGCAGAAGGAGAACAUCCUUAGCAAUGCUACCAUCACCUCAAAAGCGAGUUGGCUUUCUCUCUUGCUCUCUGUUUUCUUUCAGUGCGUUUCUAUUUGGUAUUGUGUUUCAGUUUGCUUGCACAAUAAGACUCAAUUGUUCAGCUCAUCUUCUGACCUCCAUGAAACAAAAUGCUAUUGUAUUCCUGUUGGUAGCAUGAAUCUCUCUGGAAAUGACCACUGAUGGGUAGCAUCUCUAUAUUCGUGUUAGUAGACCUCACAUCUUGAGGGAGAGGAGGCUCCUGGCUUGAAAACCUAAACUGUAAUCAGCAAUGUCCCUUUAAAUAUUGGGCCUAAUGUUAGAGUAAGAUAAUAUCAGUUCUCAAUCUGAAUCAUCUAGGGAGAUUUUUAAAAUACAGAUUUCUCAGGUCCCAUCUAAAUUUCACUAUUGAAUCUCAAAACUCCUUAGAUAGAUGAUUUUGAUCAUCAGCCAGAUUUGGAAAUCCUUGAUAUAUAGUAUCUGCCAAACAUAUAUUGACCAAGGAAGGGCUGCUUAUUGACUACUGAAUGACUCAGGCGUCCACCUGAGAUGAUUUGACCCACUGUGUAGGAGCGUGCAGACCUCAGUCUUUAAUCCCAAAUGCGUUUCUCCAUUUUGACAGCCAGGUCACAGCCAGCCCACCCCUUUGUCUCCACGCUGCCAUUUUUUUGGGUGGCAAACAGCAGGUGGUGGUGAAUUUUAUUUCAGGAUGAGGAUGUGGGUGUCACUUUUGAGGGAAGUUUUCUUUAAGAAGUACCAAGACUUUGCUGGAUAACAAGGACUAGGGGCCCCCAACUCACUGCAGGGUCUCCUUGCCUGGUUAGUCCUCCUUGGUAUGGUUGAUGGUGUGUAACAGGAGCAGUUAAAUUAUACUAGACAUAAAGUAGAUGAUUGUGUUAACCAGAAGGAGAAGAGGAAAUGGGAGUGGGGAGGAGAACACAAAGCUACUGAGGAGUAUUUUUUCUUUCUUAACAUCAUUAAGAAACAUAACCAGAAACAACAGGACUAUUUAGCGAGAGCAUUUUUUCUAAGACUGAAAUAAGCAGGUGAUAAUAAAAUAGCUUGCUUCUCGAUCCCUAGUUAUGAAUUUUUAAAACCUUAACAGAAUGUGGCUUCACCUCUGAGAGGACUUUAGAGCACAUACCAUUGAGUAUGCACACCUCUCUCUGCUAGUUAUAGUGUGCCUUAUGAGAAGAUUUCUCUGAUUAUAUGUUAUUGUGUAACCAUUGGCUCAACUCUGUGUAAACAAGCUCUUUUCUCCUGCUGGUGGUUGGCUCUUCCCAGGAGAAUGUUUAGAAUUCAGAGGAACUGCAUGAAGUAGUAAGUAGUAAGACUACUUAGCCAUACUUGGUACCUCUGUCCCCCACUCCCCAGAGUGCCUUGCAGAAGUUAACUUGUCUUCCCAGUUUCACUGUGAGGUAGGUAAGUAAAUUUGAACUUCAUACCAAAAGUGCAAGGCUAAACACGUCGCCUCAGUUCUUGCAGGAGGUAUAGCAUCAGAAAGGAGAUUCACACACUGGGGUUCCUGGCCCCUAGUCUUGUGUCAGACAGCUCUUCCCUUCCUGUGGACCACUUGGUUGAAAACUGUAAUUUAAUUUAUUACAUGUUUGUCCUUUUUAAUUAAAAGCAGUUGAUUCAGAAACUCUUUGUGAAUUUUGUUCACUGUUAUGAGAGUCUAAA